rnacentral:rRNA from 1 species
AAUGGGGGAAACCCUGAUCCAGCAAUGCCGCGUGAGUGAUGAAGGCCCUAGGGUUGUAAAACUCUUUCAGAAGUGAAGAUGAUGACGGUAACUUCAGAAGAAGCCCCGGCCAACUCCGUGCCAGCAGCCGCGGUAAUACGGAGGGGGCAAGCGUCGUUCGGAAUUACUGGGCGUAAAGCGCGCGUAGGCGGUUAGCAUAGUCAGGCGUGAAAUCCCGGGGCUCAACCCCGGAACUGCGCUUGAUACUGGCUAACUAGAGGUCUGGAGAGGGUAGUGGAAUUCCCAGUGUAGAGGUGAAAUUCGUAGAUAUUGGGAAGAACACCAGCGGCGAAGGCGGCUACCUGGACAGAUACUGACGCUGAGGUGCGAAAGCGUGGGGAGCGAACAGGAUU